rnacentral:lncRNA from 1 species
UGCAACCUAUUGAUGAAAUAUUCUGAAAAAAUAUUUAUCUAUCAACAAAAGUUCUUGUUAUCCUAAUUUCAAAGUCACAACUCCAAAUCUACAAUAGUACUCUAUACAAAUGAAAACUUUUCAGAAAUAACAGUUUUUUGUAAAAAUAUUGAAAAAUGUAACACAUUGAUGGAAAAUUAUGAAAAAAUACUCAUCUAUCAAAACAAAUUCUUGUUAUCCUUAUUUCUAAGUCACAAUCCCAAAUCUACAACAGUUCUCUAUAAAAAUGAAAACUUUUCAAAAAUAGCAGCUUUUGUAAAAAUUGUUUAAAAAAAUACAAUCUAUGGAAGAAAAAAUCUGAAAGUAUACUUAAAUUUCAACAAAAAUUCUUGUUAUCCUAAUUUCUAAUUGACAAUCCCAAAUCUACAAUAGUUCUCAUUUUAAUCGAAAACUUUCCAAAAAUAUGAGGUUUAUUAAAAAGUAUUUUUAAAAUGCAACAUAUUGAUGAAGUUUUUUGAAAGAAUACUCAUCUAUCAAAAAAAAUUCUAGUUAUCCUAAUUUUUAAGUCACAAUCCAAAUCUACAAUAGUUCUCUAUAGAAAAUAAAAACAUUUCAAAAAUAGCAGGUUUCGUAAAAAUUAUUGAGAAAAUGCAACCUCUUGACAAACAAUUCUGAAAAAAUACUAAUCUAUCAACGACAAUUCAUGUUAUCCUAAUUUCAAAGGCACAACCCCAAAUCUACAAUAGUACUCUAUACAUAUGAAAACUUUCAAGAAAUAACAUUUUUUGUAAAAAAUAUUGAAAAAAGUGACCUAUUGAUGGAAAAUUAUGAAAUAAUACUCAUCUAUCAAAACCAAUUCUUCUUAUCCUUAUUUUUAAGUCAAAAUCCCAAAUCUAUAACAAUUCACUAUAGAAAUGAAAACUUUCUAAAAAUAACAGCUUUUGUAAAUAUUAUUUUAAAAAUGCAAUCUAUGGUAUAGAAAAUGUGAAAGAAUACUUAUAUAUCAACAAAAAUUCUUGUUAUCCUAACUUCUAUGUGACAAUCCCAAAUCUACAAUAGUUCUCUAUGUAAAUGAAAACUUUCCAAAAACAUGUGGUUUUAAAGAAAUUAUUAAAAAGAUGCAACCUAUUGUAGAAAAAUUCUUGUUGUACAAAUUUCUAAGUCACAAUCCUAAAUCUACAAUAGUUCUCUAUAAAAAUGAAAAAUUUCCAAAAAUAGCAGUUUUUGUAAAAAUUAUUGAAAAAUGUAACCUAUUGGUGAAAAAUUCUGAAAGAAUACUCUUCUAUCAAAACAAAUUCUUGUUAUCUUUAUUUCUAAGUCACAAUCCCAAAUCUAUAACAGUUCUCUAUAAAAAUGAAAACUUUCCAAAAUAUCAGCUUUUAAAAAAAAACUAUUUUAAAAAUGCAAUCUAUGAAAGAAAAAAUCUGAAAGAAUACUUAUAUAUCAACAAAAAUUAUUGUUAUCCUAAUUUCUAAUCCAAAAUAUAUAGUAGUUCUCUAUAGAAAUAAAAAAUUUCCAAAAAUAGCAACUUUGGUAAAAGUUAUUGAAAAAAUGCAACCUAUUGAUGAAAAAUAUUGAAAAAAUUCUCAUAUAUCAACGAAAAUUCUUGUUAUCUUAAUUUCAAAGUCACAACCCCAAAUCUACAAUAGUACUCUAUAGAAAUGAAAACUUUCCAAAAUAGCAGUUUUUGUAAAAUUUAUUGAAAAAAUGCAAUCUAUGGAAGAAAAAAUCUGUAAGAAUACUUAAAUAUCAACAAAAAUUCUUGUUAUCCUAAUUUAUAAGUGACAAUCCCGAAUCUAUAAUAGUUCUCUAUGUAAAUGAAAACUUUCCAAAAAUAGAAGGUUUUUUAAAAAUUAUUUAAGAAAUGCAACCUAUUGAUGAAAAAUUUCGAAAGAAUGCUCAUCUAUCAAAACAAAUUCUUGUUAUCUUUAUUUCUAAGUCACAAUCCCAAAUCUACAACAGUUCUCUAUAAAAAAAGAAAACUUUCGAAAAACAUCAGCUUUUAUAAAAAUUAUUUAAAAAAUGCAAUCUAUUGAAGAAAAACCUAAAAAUAUACAUAUAUAUAUAUCAAUAAAAAUUCUUGUUAUCUUAAUUUCUAAGUGACAAUCUCAAAUCUAGUAUAGUUCUCUAUAUAAAUGAAAACUUUCCAAAAUAUGAGGUUUUUCAAAACUUAUUAAAAAAAUUCAACCUAUUGAUGAACAAUUCUGAAAAAAUACUCAUCUAUUAAGACAAAUUCUUCUAAUACUAGUUUCUAAGUCACCAUCCUAAAUCUACAAUAGUUUUCUAUAAAAAUGAAAACUAUCUAAAAAUAGCACGUUUUAAAAACAAUAUUUUAAAAAUACAACAUAUUGAUGAAAAAUUCUGAAAAAAUACUGAUCUAUAAACACAAAUUCUUUUUAUCCUUAUUUCAAAGUCACAAUCCCAAUCUACAAUAGUUCUCUAUAAAAAAUGAAAGCUUUCCAAAAAUAGUAGGUUGUUAAAAUAUUAUUUAAAAAAUAAAACCUUCUUUUGAAACUUUGAGAGAAUACUCAUCUAUCAACAAAAAUUCAAGUUAUCAUAAUUUCUAAGUCAUAAUCCCAAAUAUACAAUAGUUCUCUAUCUAAACAAAAACAUUCCAAAAAUAGUAACUUUGGUAAAAAUUAUUGACAAAAUGCAACUUAUUGAUGAAAAAUCCUGAAAAAUUACUCAUAUAUUAACGAAAAUUCAUAUUAUCCUAAUUUCAAAGUCACAACCCCAAAUCUACAAUAGUACUCUAUAGAAAUGAAAACUUUUCAAAAUAGCAGUUUUUGUAAAAUUUAUUGAAAAAAUGCAAUCUAUGGAAGAAAAAAUCUGUAAGAAUACUUAAAUAUCAACAAAAAUUUUUGUUAUCCUAAUUUAUAAGUGACAAUCCCAAAUCUAUAAUAGUUCUCUAUGUAAAUGAAAACUUUCCAAAAAUAAAAGGUUUUCUAAAAAUUAUUUAAGGAAUGCAACCUAUUGAUGAAAAAUUCUGAAAGAAUGCUCAUCUAUCAAAACAAAUUCUUGUUAUCUUUAUUUCUAAGUCACAAUCCCAAAUGUACAACAGUUCUCUGUAAAAAUGAAAACUUUCCAAAAACAUCAGCUUUCGUAAAAAUUAUUUAAAAAAUGCAAUCUAUUGAAAAAAAACUGAAAGAAUACAUAUAUAUAUAUCAAAAAAAAUUCUUGUUAUCUUAAUUUCUAAUUGACAAUCUCAAAUCUACAAUAGUUCUCUAUAUAAAUGAAAACUUUCCAAAAAUAUGAGGUUUUUUAAAACUUAUUUAAAAAUGCAACCUAUUCAUAAAGAAUUCUGAAAAAAUACUCAUCUAUUAAGAAAAAUUCUUCUAAUACUAGUUUCUAAGUCACCAUCCAAAAUCUACAAUAGUUCUCUAUAAAAAUGAAAACUAUCCAAAAAUAGCACGUUUUAAAAAACAAUAUUUUAAAAAUGAAACAUACUGAUAAAAAAUUCUGAAAAAUACUCAUCUAUAAACAAAAAUUCUUUUUUAUCCUUAUUUCAAAGUCACAAUCACAAUCUACAAUAGUUCUCUAUAAAAAAAUGAAAGCUUUCCAAAAAUAGUAGGUUGUUAAAAUAUUAUUUAAAAAAUAAAACUUUCUUUUGAAACUUUGAGAGAAUACUCAUCUAUCAACAAAAGUUCUAGUUAUCUUAAUUUCUAAGUCAUAAUCCCAAAUAUACAGUAGUUCUCUAUCUAAAUAAAAACUUUCCAAAAAUAGCAACUUUGGUAAAAAUUAUUGACAAAAUGCAACCUAUUGAUGAAAAAUCCUGAAAAACUACUCAUCUAUUAACAACAAUUCAUGUUAUCCUAAAUUCAAAGUCACAACCCCAAAUCUACAAUAGUACUCUAUAGAAAUCAAAACUUGCCAAAAAUAGUUGUUUUUGUAAAAAUUAUUGAAAAAUGUAACCUAUUGAUGAAAAUAUUGAAAGAAUACUCAUCUAUCAAAACAAAUUCUUGUUAUCAUAAUUUCAAAGUCACAAUCCCAAAUCUGCAACAGUUCUAUAAAAAUGAAAACUUUCCAAAAAUAGCUGUUUUUGUAAAAAUUAUUUUGAAAAUGCAAAUUAUGGAAGAAAAAUCUUAAACAAUACUUAUAUAUCAACAAAAAUUCUUGUUAUCUUAAUUUCUAAGUGAAAAUCCCGAAUCUACAAAAUUUCUCUAUGUAUUUCAAAAUUAAAAAGUUUUUAAAAUUAAUUUAAAAAAUACAACCUAUUGAUGAAAAAUUCUGAAAGAAUACUCAUCUAUUAACAAAAAUUCUUGUUAUACUAAUUUCUAAGUCACAAUCCUAAAUCUAUAAUAGUUUUCUAUAAAAAUGAAAACUUUCUAAAAAUAGUUGUUUUUGUAAAAAUUAUUGAAAAAUGUAACCUACUCAUGAAAUAUUCUGAAAGAUACUCAUCUAUCAAAACAAAUUUUUAUUAUCAUUAUUUUUAAGUCACAAUCCCAAAUCUAAAACAGUUCUCUAUAAAAAUGAAAAAUUUACAAAAAUAGCAGCUUUUGUAAAAAUUAUUUAAAAAAUGCAAUCUAUUGAAGAAAAAAAUCUGAAAGAAUAGUUAUAUAUCAAGAAAAAUUCUUGUUAUCCUAAUUUCUAAGUGACAAUCUCAAAUCUACAAUAUCUCUCUAUUUAAAUGAAAAAAUUCCAAAAAUAUUAGGUUUAUUAAAAAUUAUUUUAAAAAUGCAAACGGUUGAUUCAAAAUUCUAAACAAAUACUCAUCUAUAAACAAAAAAUCUUGUUAUCCUUAUUUCUAAGUCACAAUCUCAAUUCUACAAUAGUUCUCUAUAAUAAAUGAAAACUUUCCAAAAAUAGCAGGCUCUUAUAAAAUUAUUUUAAAAAUGCAACCUAUUGAUGAAAUUUUCUAAGAGAAUAAUCAUUUAUCAACAAAAAUUCUAUUUAUCCAAAUUUAUAAGUCACAAUCCCAAAUCUACAAUAGUUCUCUAUUGAAAUAAAAACUUUCAAAAAGUGGCAGCUCUCUGAAAAAAUACUCAUCUAUCAACGAAAAUUUUUGUUAUCCUAAUUUCAAAGUCACAACCCCAAAUCUACAACAGUACUCUAUAGAAAUGAAAAUUUCCAAAAAUAGUAGUUUUUGUAAAAAUUAUUGAAAAAUGUAACCUAUUGAUGAAAAUUCAAGAGAGAAUACUCAUUUAUCUAAACAAAUUCUUGUUAUCCUUAUUUCUAAGUCACAAUCUCAAAUCUACAACAGUUCUCUAUAAAAAUGAAAAUUUUCCAAAAAUAGCAGUUUUUGUAAAAAUUAUUUUAAAAAUGCAAUCUAAGAAAAAUCUGAAAGAAUACUUAUAUAUCAACAAAAUUCUUGUUAUCCGAAUUUAUAAAUGACAAUCCCAAAUCUACAAUAGGUCUCAAUUUAAAUGAAAACUUUCCAAAAAUAUGAGGUUUAUUAAAAGUUAUUUAAAAAAUGCCACUUAUUGAUGAAAAAUUCUGAAAGAAUACUCAUCUAUAAAAAAAAGUUCUUGUUAUCCUUACUUCUACAAUAGUUCUCUAUAGAAAUAAAAAACUUUCCAAAAAAAUCAGCUUUCGUAAAAAUUAGUUUAAAAAUACCACCUAUUGAUGAAAAAUUCUGAAAGAAUAUUCAUCAAUAAAAAAAAUUAAUAGAAUCUUUAUUUCUUCAAUAGUUCUCUAUAGAAAUAAAAAAACUUUCCAAAAAGAGUAGCUUUUUAAAAAAUUAUUGAAAAAAUACAACAUAUUGAUGAAAAAUUCUGAAAAAAAUACUCAUUUAUCAACGAAAAUUCUUGUUAUCCUAAUUUCAAAGUCAGAAUCCCAAAUCUACAACAGUACUUUAUAGAUCUGAAAACUUUCCCAAAAUAGCAGUUUUUGUAAUUUUUUUUGAAAAAUAUAACCUAUUGAUGAAAAAUUCUGAAAGAAUACUCAUCUAUCAAAAUAAAUUGUUUUUUUUGUCACAGAUAUCAAAAUAAAUUGUUGUUAUUCUUAUUUAUAAGUCACAAUCCAAAUCUACAACAGUUCUCCAUAAAAAUGAAAACUUUCCGAAAAUAGCAGCUUUUGUAAAAUUUAUUUUAAAAAUGCAAUCUAAGAAAAAGUCUAAAAGAAUACUUAUAUAUCAACAAAAAUUAUUGUUAUCCUAAUUUAUAAAUGACAAUCCCUAAUCUACAAUAGCUCUCUAUUUAAAUGAAAACUUUCCAAAAAUAUGAGGUUUAUUAAAUAUUAUUUAAAAAAUGCCACCUAUUGAUGAAAAAUUCUGAAAGAAUACUCAGCUAUAUAAAAAAAUUCUUGUUAUCCUUAUUUCUACAAUAGUUCUGUAUAGGAAUUAAAAAAAACUUUCGAAAAAUAGCAGCUUUUUUAAAAAUUAUUGAAAAAAUACAACCUAUUGAUGAAAAAUUCUGAAAAAAUUACUCAUCUAUCAACGAAAAUUCUUGUUAUCCUAAUUUCAAAGUCACAAUCUUAAAUCUACAACAGUACUCUAUAGAAAUGAAAACUUCCCAAAAUAGCUGUUUUUGUGAAAAUUAUUGAAAAAUGUAACCUAUGGAUGAAAAAUUCUGAAAGAAUACUCAUCUAUCAAAAUAAAUUGUUGUUAUUCUUAUUUUUAAGUCACAAUCCCAAAUCUACAACAUUUCUCUAUAAGAAUGAAAACUUUUCAAAAAUAGCAGCUUUUGUAAAAAUUAUUUUAAAAAUGCAAUCUAAGAAAAAUUCUAAAAGAAUACUUAUAUAUUAAAAAAAAAUUCUUGUUAUCCUAAUUUAUAAAUGACAAUCCCAAAUCUACAAUAGCUCUCUAUUUAAAUGAAAACUUUCCAAAUCUACAAUAGCUAAUUUAUAAAUGACAAUCCCAAAUCUACAAUAGCUCUCUAUUUAAAUGAAAACUUUCCAAAAAUAUGAGGUUUAUUAAAUAUUAUUUAAAAAAUACAACUUAUUGACGAAAAAUUCAGAAAGAAUACUCAUCUAUAAAAAAAAUUAUUGUUAUCCUUAUUUCUACAAUAUUUUUCUAUAGAAAAAAAAAACUUUCCAAAAAAAGCAACUUUCGUAAAAAUUAUUGAAAAGAUACAACCUAUUGAUGAAAACUUCUGAAAAAUAUUCAUCUAUCAACGAAAAUUCUUGUUAUCCUAAUUUCAAAGUCACAACCCAAAAUCUACAAUAUUACUCUAUACAAAUAAAAAUUUCCAAAAAUACCAGUUUUUGUAAAAAUUAUUGAAAAAUGUAACCUAUUGAUGAAAAUUCUAAAAGAUUACUCAUCUAUCAAAACAAAUUAUUGUCAUCCUUAUUUAAAAGUUACAAUCUCAAAUCUUCAACAGUUCUCUAUAAAAAUGAAAACUUUCCAAAAAUAGCAGCUUUUGUAAAAAUAAUUUUAAAAAUGCGAACAUUGAAUAUGAAAGCCACGUUACAAAAAAAAAAUGUCUAAAGGAAUUGAUUUAGUAACAUACAAGAUAAAGCUCUUAUGCACAUUUAAGUCAUGCCACAAACUAGUUUUUGUUCUAUAUUAUCCGCUUGUAGCUUGGAAUUUAGAUAAUCAUGAAGGUUGGGAUAAAAAAUGAUGAUCAAGAAAAUAUGACCAAUUAUUAUUAAUGCUUAAAUUCAAAAACAAAACAACGAAGAGAAACCCCUGUAGUUAGGGAUCAAUCAUUCCUGAAACUUGGUAAGAACCAACGAGCUCUAGAGAAUGAAACUCAGGAACCCCUGUAGCAUCUGAGGAUCUAGAUUCCUAAUUUCUAAGUCACAAUUUCAAAUCUACAAUAGUUCUCUAUAGAAAUAAAAAAAUUCUAAAAAUAACAGCUUUCGUAAAAAUUAUUGAGAAAAUGCAACCUAUUAAUGAAAAAUUCUGAAAAAAUAUCCAUCUAUCUAUAAAAAUUCUUGUUAUCCUAAUUUCAAAGUCACAACCCAAAAUCUACAAUAGUACUCUAUAACAAUGAAAACUUUCCAAAAAUAGCAGUUCUUAAUUUCAAAGUCACAAUCCAAAAUCUACAAUAGUACUCUAUAAAAAUGAAAACUUUCCAAAAAUAACAGUUAAUAUUACCAAUUAAUAUUAAUGCUUAAAUUCAAAAACAAAACAACGAAGAGAAACCCCUGUAGUUAGGGAUCAAUCAUUCCUGAAACUUGGUAAGAACCAACGAGCUCUAGAGAAUGAAACACAGGAACCCUUGUAGCAUCUGAGGAUCUAGAUAAUUUUGAAGUCACAAUCUCAAAUCUACAAUAGUUCUCUAUAGAAAUAAAAAAUUUCCAAAAAUAACAGCUUUCGUAAAAAUUAUUGAGUAAAUGCAACCUAUUAGUGAAAAAUUAUGAAACAAAUAUUCAUCUAUCAACAAAAAUUCUUGUUAUCUUAAUUUCAAAGUCACAACCCAAAACCUACAAUAGUACUCUAUACAAAUGAACAUUUUCCAAAAAUAACAAUUUUUGCAAACAAAUAUUGAAAAAUGUAACUAAUUGAUGGAAAAUUAUGAAAGAAUAUUCAUCUAUCAAAAAAAAUUCUUGUUAUCCUUAUUUCUAAGUCACAAUCCCAAAUCUACAACAGUUAUCUAUAAAAAUGAAAAUUUUCCAAAAAAAAAAGAACUUUUGUAAAAAUUAUUUUAAAAAUGCAAUCUGUGGAAGAAAAAAAAAUCUGAAAGAAUACUUAAAUAUCAACAAAAAUUCUUGUUAUCCUAAUUUUUAAGUGAGAAUUCCAAAUCUACAAUAGUUCUCAUUUUAAUUGAAAACUUUUCAAAAAUAUGAGGUUUAUUAAAAAUUAUUUUAAAAAUACAACCUAUUGAUGAAGUUUUUUGAAAGAAUACUCAUCUAUCAACGAAAAUUCUUGUUAUCUUAAUUUCAAAGUCACAACCCCAAAUCUACAACAGUACUCUAUAAAAAUGAAAAUUUCCAAAAAGAGCAGUUUUUAUAAAAAUUAUUGAAAAGUGUAACCUAGUGAUAAAAAAUUCAGAAAAAAAUACUCAUUUAGCUAAACAAAUUCUUGUUAUCCUUAUUUCUGAGUCACAAUCCCAAAUCUACAACAGUUCUCUAUAAAAAUGAAAAAUUUCCAAAAUAGCAGCUUUUGUAAAAAUUAUUUUAAAAAUGCAAUCUAAGAAAAAAUCUGAAAGAAUACUUAUAUAUCAACAAAAAAUCUUGUUAUCAUAAUUUCUAAAUGACAAUCCCAAAUUUACAAUAGGUCUCUAUUGAAAUGAAAACUUUCCAAAAGUAUGAGGUUUAUUAAAAAUUAUUUAAAAAAUGCAACCUAUUGAUUAAAAUUUCUGAAAGAACACUCAUCUAUAAAAUAAAAAAUCUUGUUAUCCUUAUUUCUACAAUAGUUCUCUAUAGAAAUAAAAAACUUUCCAAAAAGAGAAGCUUUCUUAAAAAUUAUUGAAAAAAUACAACUUUUUGAUGAAAAAUUCUGAAAAAAUAUUCAUCUAUCAACGAAAAUUCUUGUUAUCCUAAUGUCAAAGUCACAAUCCCAAAUCAACAACAUUACUCUAUAGAAAUGAAAACUUUCCAAACAGAGCAGUUUUGUAAAAAUUAUUGAAAAAUGUAACAUAUUGAUGAAAAAUUCUGAAAGAAUACUCAUCUACCA